UCCACAUGUGGACACAGAUGAUGCCCCCGCUUGCAUAGCAUAUAGUUAUAAAGGGACAUAACUGAAGAACGGUAAAAGUGACGCUACCCAAAUUUGAACUUGAUCUGAGUUUUGUACUAAUAAGCAUUGUGUGUAAGUCUCAUAACAUUUGGUUGAAGCUAACUUAAGUAGAGAACAGAAACUAAAAAUUCAGCAAUUUUUAUACGACUGCAAAAAAAUUUUUGUGGUCGUAUAUUGGUAUGACGUUGGCGUCGAUGUCGUCCGAAGACACAUUAGUUUUCGCACUCUAACUUUAGUUUAAGUGAAUGGAUCUCAAUGAAAUUUUACCAUAAGGUUCAAUACCACAAAAGGAAGGUGGGGAUUGAUUUUGGGGGUUAUGGUACCAACAGUUAAGGAAUUAGGGACCAAAAAGGAGCCAAAAAUAAGCAUUUUUGUAACUUCCAGACAUAACUUGUGUGUAAGUGUAUGGAUCUCUCUGACAUUGUACCACAAGGUUCCAUAUCACAAAAGGAAUGCUGGGAUUGAUUUUGGGGGUAAUUGCCUCAAAAUUUUAGGAAUUAGGGGCCAAAAAAGGGGCAAAAAACAAGCAUUUUUCUAGUUUCAUGACAAUAACUUGUGUGUAAGUGUAUGGAUCUUUCUGAAAUUGUACUACAAGGUUCCAUAUCACAAAGGGAAAGCUGGAAUUGAGUUUGGGGGUAAUUGCAGAAACGUUUAGGAAUAAGGGGCCAAAAAGGGGCCAAAAAUAAGCAUUUUUCUAGUUUCCAGACAAUAUCUUGUGUUCAAGUGUAUGGAUCUCUCUGAAAUUGUACUGCAAGGUACCAUACCACAAAGGGAAGGCUGGGAUUGAUGAUGGGGGUAAUUGCCUCAAUAUUUUAGGAAUUAGGGGCCAGAAAGGGCAAAAAACAAGCAUUUUUCUAGUUUCAGGACAAUAACUUGUGUGUAAGUGUAUGGAUCUUUCUGAAAUUGUACUACAAGGUUCCAUAUCACAAAGGAAAAGCUGGAAUUGAGUUUGGGGGUAAUUGCCAAAAUAGUUUAGGAAUAAGGGGCAAAAAAGGGGCAAAAAAUAAGCAUUUUUCUAGUUUCCAGACAAUAACUUGUGUUCAAGAGUAUGGAUCUCUCUGAAAUUGUACUGCAAGGUACCAUACCAUAAAAGGAAGGCUGGGAUUGAUUUAGGGGGUAAUUGCCCCAAAAUUUUAGGAAUUAGGGGCAAAAAACAAGCAUUUUUCUAGUUUCAGGACAAUAACUUGUGUGUAAGUGUAUGGAUCUUUAUGAAAUUGUACUACAAGGUUCCAUAUCACAAAGGGAAAACUGGGUUUGAGUUUGGGGGUAAUUGCCCUAAACGUUUAGGAAUUUGGGGCCAAAAAGGGGCCUAAAAACAAGCAUUUUUCUAGUUUCCAGACAAUAACUUUUGUUCAAGUGUAUGGAUCUCUCUGAAAUUGUAUUGCAAGGUACCAUACCACAAAGGGAAGGCUGGGAUUGAGUUUGGGGGUGAUGAAUCAUAAGGGGGUUCAAAAAAUUUGGGAGAGGGAUUUUUUUUUCC